rnacentral:rRNA from 1 species
AUGAAUAUUUUAAGUUGGAACUGCCGGGGGGCGGGGAACCCCCGGACAGUUCGUGAUCUCAUGAGUCUAGUCCAGGCUCAUUCCCCUAGUAUCGUUUUUCUUUAUGAAACUAGGCAGCCAAAAAAUAAAAUGAAGAGGUACCGUGCUAGGUUAGGCUUAAGUGGUUUUGAUGCUUGUGAUAGCGUUGGUCGUAGUGGUGGUCUUGCUUUGUACUGGCAUGAGUCGUUGAUCGUUGAUGUAAAAGAUAUUAAUGAAAGAUAUAUUGAUGCAUAUGUGACUGCGUCGGCGGGUGAGCCACCCUGGAGGCUGACCUGCGUCUACGGUGAGCCACGGACGGAGGACCGUCAUCACAUGUGGUCCCUCCUCCGUGAUCUUCACCAGCAAGCUGACAUGCCUUGGGUUGUGGCUGGUGACUUUAACGAGGCCAUGUGGAGCUUCGAGCAUUUCUCCGAAACGCCACGCUCGGCAGGUCAGAUGAUUGAUUUUCAUGAUGUUCUUGAGGUUUGUGGUUUGGGUGAUCUCGGUUUUGCAGGCCUGCCUUACACUUAUGAUAACCGUCGUGCGGGUCGGGCAAAUGUUAAAGCUCGACUUGAUCGUGCCGUGGCUAACAACACUUGGCGUGACAUGUUCUCUGAGGCCAAGGUGCAGCACCUUGUGGCGCCGAGUUCAGACCACUUUGCCAUCCUGCUACGAUGCGUUCUGGAGGAGCUGGUGCAGCAGUCUGGCAGGCGCUGCCGGCAAUACGAGGUGAUGUGGGAGAGGGAUCCGUCCCUCCCUGAGGUAAUUAUGAAUACUUGGACAGAUUUGGGUUCAUUGCUUAACCUGGGUGAUAUUGCGGUCGGCCUGGGUACUAUGAUGAAAAAAUUGCAGGACUGGAGCCGUAAAAAGUUUGGUAAUGUUAUUAAAGAAAUUAACAAAUCUCGUACCCGCCUGGAAGAGCUUAUGUCUAUGAAUGCAGACAGGAAGGAGAUUCGGGAGGCCACUGACAGGAUGAACGAGCUUCUGUAUAGGGAAGAGAUGCUUUGGAUGCAGAGAUCCCGGGUUGCCUGGCUCAAGGAGGGCGACAGAAACACACGGUUCUUCCAUCAGAAAGCGGUGUGGCAGGCUCGAAAAAACCGCAUUAAGUCGCUUGUGGACGAGGCAGGAGUGGUCCAGACGGACCACAAUAUUAUGGCGCCCAUGGCAACAUCAUACUUCACUAAGCUUUUUACAGCCGACACUACACUCCGUGCGGACCCGGUAAUUGAUUUGAUUAAUACUCGUGUGACUGACAACAUGAAUAAUGGUCUGUGUGCAGACUUCACGGAUAAGGAGAUAUCAGAUGCUCUUUUUCAGAUUGGACCUCUCAAAGCGCCGGGGCCGGAUGGAUUUCCCGCGCAGUUUUUCCAGAGGAACUGGGAUGUCAUGCGAGAGCGGUUAUUGCAGGGGUGA